GAAGGAACAGAAGGAAAUUAACAGAAUGGCACCCAAAACAAGUCCAGAUAGACUGCCUUCAUGAGAUUAAUUUCCAUUAAACACACUCUAAUCGAUUUCAGUCGUUUUGCUAACAUAUGACUUUCAAAAAUGCUCUCAAAUACCACAUAAUUUAGGAAACAAAACACCAAAAACUUAUAAGUGUGGACAUAGCCUUAGCCACUGAAUUCGACCACCCCCAUCUCUUCAACCACAUGCCAUUUCUCCUCCCACCCACCAAAUUAAUAAUUGACAGGCAGAAAGUGUUUCGUGGCAGGAAGGGUCAAGUUUGCAGCAUGCAACAAGAGGAGGGAAGAGCAAUCUUGCCAGUAGAGAAGGCCAUCAUUACACUGAACAACCUCAGGCAUGUGAACAGUUUUGUCAGGAAUAGGUUGCGCUCACUGGCAGUACUGCGUCAGCACAUUCUCCUGAUUUCCUCUGACAAGAAGAACGGGAGGUCGAAGGUCACGGGACACAAUCUCUAACCAAGCCAUGUAGAGGGCACUAGGGCACGCCCCUCUUUGCCCAACAGGCAUGGUGCUACCAAACAAAAAGUCACAGAUGACCAGUGAUAUCAGGCUCUGGUUCUUGGUGAAGGUGCUGAUAAAAUCCACCAGGGAAGGACGCAUAGAGGGCGGUCCACUGAGAACAAGACACUGUGGUCUGAGAAAAAAAACAGAUGGAAAAAGUAGGGCACAUGGAGAAAUGAAGAGAAUGAAUGAACGCAAAUGGCAAAAGAGAGAGGAGGAUACACAUGAGCAAAGCCCAAUGGAAAAACAAACAACAACAUGGAAAGAAUGAAAGGUUUCUUAUACAGCACAUAUCCCAGCAGGAAGAUGAUUAUGCCAAUGGCUAUGAGAGCAGCCCACCAGGUUAGGAGAAACAUGAUGAUUACAGACACUACCGCUCCAAGCAAAGACAGCCACUUGCUGUAGAAUCGAAAAGUUGGAC